UGCUUCAGUAUCCGAUGGGACUUCAGAAU
rnacentral:piRNA from 1 species